rnacentral:rRNA from 1 species
AGUGGCGCACGGGUGAGUAACACGUAGCUAACCUACCCUCGAGCGGGGGAUAACCUGGGGAAACUCGGGCUAAUACCGCAUAACAUCCCGAUGGCGCGAGCUGUUGGGAUCAAAGGCCCGCAAGGGUCACUAGAGGAGGAGGCUGCGGCCGAUUAGCUAGUUGGUGAGGUAAUGGCCCACCAAGGCGAUGAUCGGUAGCCGGCCUGAGAGGGCGCACGGCCACACUGGCACUGAAACACGGGCCAGACUCCUACGGGAGGCAGCAGUGGGGAAUUUUGCACAAUGCCCGAAAGGGUGAUGCAGCAACGCCGCGUGAGGGAUGAAGGCCUUCGGGUCGUAAACCUCUUUCGACCGGGAAAAACGGGUGGGUGAAGAAUCCACUCUGAUGGUACCGGUGGAAGAAGCCCCGGCUAACUACGUGCCAGCAGCCGCGGUAAUACGUAGGGGGCGAGCGUUGUUCGGAAUUACUGGGCGUAAAGGGCGUGUAGGCGGUGCGGUAAGUCGGGCGUAAAAUCCCCAGGCUCAACUUGGGGCGGCCGUCCGA